UUUCAUCAUUUGGAGUGAUAUUCUCUUAUGACUGCCUAAUGUCCAUGGAAACUAUAAAGUGAAAUUGGCGGUUCUUCAAGUUUGGCAGGCUGCCAUUUAUGAAAUGUGGUGUGAGAGUAACCAGAUAUUAGAUGAUGGCUUAUCCUUACCUCCUUCCGUGUUGUAAGAUACAUUAUUUCAUCUCUCAUAGAUAAAUGUUCAGUUAUGUCUUAUGACAAUCCGUUCCGUGGAUCCAUGCUCAUAGCCCUGCACUGUGAGCCUUGGUUCGCGGGACGGGUUGUCACAAAAAAGUCGGGUAAAUUGGUGACAACUUGUCAUGUGAGAAUAUUGUUAAAAUGUGAGGUUUUGGGUUCAAGGAACGCGAAGGGCACCAAUAACCUACAUGGAAGACUCAGUGAGGGUUCACAUGUGAAGGGUUAGGGUCGGUGUCCUGCAAGGCUGUGAGCCUGGGUCCGUGGGACGGGUUGUCACAUGUCUAUUGCAGGGUCUAUUUUUAGCUAACUUUUGGUUUGACCCGCUCUAGCUGCUCUUAUUUACCUUAGCUAUGUUUUUGAGACCUAGCAGUUUUUUUUUAUUUUUUAUUUGUUUUUUUACUUUUAGGUUUUAACAUAUUUUAGUCAGAUAGACGUGAAUGUAUCAGUUAGGGUAUGACUGGUUUUCCCGCUACCACCCGCAAACGCAGCUUUUGCGGUUCGUAGCGGUUGCUGGCGUUUUGCAACAAUCGCUCAAACCGCUCUAAACCGCUCCAAAUCGCUCUGAACCUCAUAAAUUCAAAAGCUGGUUCCAGCUAGCGUUUGCGGUUGCAGGCGUUUGAGGGAGGAUAAAAAAUUUUUUUUUUUUUUCCAAAACAAUAUAAAUACAAAAAUAAAAAAAAUCAAUAAAAAAAUUAAACUGAAAUUAUAAAAAUGCUAAAAUAUAUCAAUUAAAUUUUAAUUAAUAUUAUAAAACUUUAAAAUAAAAAUAUUUUCUAUAUUUUUAAAAAAUUUAAACUAUAACUUUCUAAAUAUAAAUUUUAUAUUUAUUAUAAUAUUAUUAUUUUUGAUAUUUUUAUAAUUGUAUAAAAUGUAAAUAUUGUUAAUUUAUUAUUUAACUGCUGCUGCAUUUGGUAGUUAACGAGCUGUCAUAAGUAUCCCGCAAACGCACAAAUUUCUAACCGCAUAACCAGUCGUACAAAUCUCUUAAAACCGCUAGAAACCGCAACCACCCGCAUCCGCAAACUCCCGCAACCGCAACCGCUGCGGUUAAACCAGUCAGGCCCUUAAUAGGAUACUCAGUUUAAAUAUCUAGUUAAGUAGCAGUUUGUCAAAAUCUAUGUACAAUUUGUAGUUGUGUAUGUAAUAUUAAUAAAUUUUGUUAGAGAUACUUGUAAAUCAUCAUGUUUUUAUUAAAAAUAAUAUAAAAAUUUCAUAAAAAUAUCUCAGCUAAAUUUCGUUAAUCACUUUAAUAUCUCUAUUACCCAAUCUAAUAUUUUAACUAAUUAUAUCUUUCAUUUUAAC
rnacentral:lncRNA from 1 species